rnacentral:misc_RNA from 2 species
AACGCACAUUGCGCCCCCUGGUAUUCCGGGGGGCAUGCCUGUUCGAGCGUCAUUUCACCACUCAAGCCUCGCUUGGUAUUGGGCAUCGCGGUCCGCCGCGUGCCUCAAAUCGACCGGCUGGGUCUUCUGUCCCCUAAGCGUUGUGGAAACUAUUCGCUAAAGGGUGUUCGGGAGGCUACGCCGUAAAACAACCCCAUUUCUAAGGUUGACCUCGGAUCAGGUAGGGAUACCCGCUGAACUUAA